UCUGCUUAGCAUUGAAAAAUUUAAAUCUUUCGUAUAUAAUGUUUUUACGAGAAUUACAAUAGUUCUAAAAUUUUUCCAAAUCAUUGUCUGCUUUGGAGGUUACCGUUAUAGCGACCGAUAAACUUCCGGAAAAAUUUAGACUGAUAAUGCACAAUGCAAACAUAUAUGGAGUUGAGAAACAUAUUGAGUUUAUAGUAGGCGAUUUCUUUUAAAUAGCAGAUCAACAUAAACAGACGUUGUCGUUAUGUCACCUCCUUAUAGUUCCCGCAGUUGUCCAAAAAAGAAAAAAUAAACAAUAGAAGACAUGCGAGCAAGAAAAAAACGGCUUCAAAAUUUAUGAAUAGGCACGAAAAUGUCAGUCUUUAUCAACAAAAAUUCACUAAUUGAAAAAUUGUUUAUUAUUAAUAAAUUGGAUUAGAUCUGGAAGUUUUUAGAGAUAAUUAUUGAUAUUUGAUACG